AUGCUGGAGGUAUCAGAAGUGCGAAUGCUGACAUAAGUAACGAUAAAGCGGGUGAAAAGCCCGCUCGCCGGAAGACCAAGGGUUCCUGUCCAACGUUAAUCGGGGCAGGGUGAGUCGACCCCUAAGGCGAGGCCGAAAGGCGUAGUCGAUGGGAAACAGGUUAAUAUUCCUGUACUUGGUGUUACUGCGAAGGGGGGACGGAGAAGGCUAUGUUGGCCGGGCGACGGUUGUCCCGGUUUAAGCGUGUAGGCUGGUUUUCCAGGCAAAUCCGGAAAAUCAAGGCUGAGGCGUGAUGACGAGGCACUACGGUGCUGAAGCAACAAAUGCCCUGCUUCCAGGAAAAGCCUCUAAGCAUCAGGUAACAUCAAAUCGUACCCCAAACCGACACAGGUGGUCAGGUAGAGAAUACCAAGGCGCUUGAGAGAACUCGGGUGAAGGAACUAGGCAAAAUGGUGCCGUAACUUCGGGAGAAGGCACGCUGAUAUGUAGGUGAAGUCCCUCGCGGAUGGAGCUGAAAUCAGUCGAAGAUACCAGCUGGCUGCAACUGUUUAUUAAAAACACAGCACUGUGCAAACACGAAAGUGGACGUAUACGGUGUGACGCCUGCCCGGUGCCGGAAGGUUAAUUGAUGGGGUCAGCGCAAGCGAAGCUCUUGAUCGAAGCCCCGGUAAACGGCGGCCGUAACUAUAACGGUCCUAAGGUAGCGAAAUUCCUUGUCGGGUAAGUUCCGACCUGCACGAAUGGCGUAAUGAUGGCCAGGCUGUCUCCACCCGAGACUCAGUGAAAUUGAACUCGCUGUGAAGAUGCAGUGUACCCGCGGCAAGACGGAAAGACCCCGUGAACCUUUACUAUAGCUUGACACUGAACAUUGAGCCUUGAUGUGUAGGAUAGGUGGGAGGCUUUGAAGUGUGGACGCCAGUCUGCAUGGAGCCGACCUUGAAAUACCACCCUUUAAUGUUUGAUGUUCUAACGUUGACCCGUAAUCCGGGUUGCGGACAGUGUCUGGUGGGUAGUUUGACUGGGGCGGUCUCCUCCUAAAGAGUAACGGAGGAGCACGAAGGUUGGCUAAUCCUGGUCGGACAUCAGGAGGUUAGUGCAAUGGCAUAAGCCAGCUUGACUGCGAGCGUGACGGCGCGAGCAGGUGCGAAAGCAGGUCAUAGUGAUCCGGUGGUUCUGAAUGGAAGGGCCAUCGCUCAACGGAUAAAAGGUACUCCGGGGAUAACAGGCUGAUACCGCCCAAGAGUUCAUAUCGACGGCGGUGUUUGGCACCUCGAUGUCGGCUCAUCACAUCCUGGGGCUGAAGUAGGUCCCAAGGGUAUGGCUGUUCGCCAUUUAAAGUGGUACGCGAGCUGGGUUUAGAACGUCGUGAGACAGUUCGGUCCCUAUCUGCCGUGGGCGCUGGAGAACUGAGGGGGGCUGCUCCUAGUACGAGAGGACCGGAGUGGACGCAUCACUGGUGUUCGGGUUGUCAUGCCAAUGGCACUGCCCGGUAGCUAAAUGCGGAAGAGAUAAGUGCUGAAAGCAUCUAAGCACGAAACUUGCCCCGAGAUGAGUUCUCCCUGAC
rnacentral:rRNA from 1 species